ACUAAUUAAUUGCUUCAAAAAUGAAGGAGAAGCAAGAGAGAGAGAGAGAGAGAAAGAUUUAAAAAAUGACAAACUUUCAGUUUCACUUAUUUAGCUAGCCAAUGCAGCUGGCUAGUUUAGUUACUCAAACACCCAAACAUUCAAACAGGGGGAUGCUAUGUUAGCUAGCUGGCUAUGACUAUCCAACACAACACUGGAACUCUUCCAAGUCAAGAAGACCCCAUGGUGGUGGCCGUGACAGUGUGCUGACCGAUCAGCAGGAGUGGGCAGUGGUGGAAAUGGUAAGGGCCAGGAAUGACAUACGGCUGUCUGAAAUAAAGCAGGUCAUUGAAGAGAAAGAUGACACCUUUGCCAAUGUGGCAUCCAUCAGCCUACCAACAGUCACACGCCUUUUGAAGAGGAACCAGGUAUCUAUGAAACACAUUUACCUGAUGCCCUUUGAGAGAAACAACGACCGGGUGAAACAACUGCAGGCCGAGUAUUUUCAGAGGGUGAUGGUGCUUGAUACUGCUGUGAACCAUAACAAGCAUAUCUUUGUUGACGAAGUGGGCGACCGUCCAAGUGCAAGGACAAUUUGGGGGAAACAUCUCCAUGUGCGCAGCUAUCUCUGAAGAUGGUGUGGUAGGACGUAGGCCAUUACUUGGAUCCUAAAACGCUGCACACCUCAUUGUGAUACUCAAUGAAAUUGAUCAGGCCUGUCAAGGUGAAGGGGAUGAGAAUUUAUGGCCAAAUGAUUAAGACAGGCUUGAUGCAAAUGAAUGCGUGCUGAACAUUGUUUUAUUUUAAUUCAUUUUCAUUUUUUUCAUUUGAUUACAGACAGUAUACCUAUGUUGCAAUUAUAUCCGAAAAAGAAAAAUUACAUUUGAUUACAAUGAUUUUAGAGGAUGUCUUCAUUGAUCACACAUUGUAUAGAUAUUAUGGAAAUUAUACUUGGUAAUUUUCUUGGUAAUGUAAGUGUAUUGCCUAAUAAGUGUAUUGCCUAAGUGUGUAAUCUAUUGUAAUUUACAGUAUUGUCGCCUCGUGGGUCUUCCGGUCACGGCCGUGUUUGAACCCGGAUCUGUAGUGACGCCUCGAGCACUGCAGUGUCUUAGACCGCUACGCCACUCGGGAGGCCCACUUUCAGCACUUCUAAGGGCGAUUUGAAAGACAUAUCUUACAUUGUUUGUUAUUGGAUUAACUGGUAGUUAAAACGACUACAUUGAAAAGAUAUCAUUAUGUUGUGUUUUGGUGAUUAAACCAAUGUUCUCCUUA